rnacentral:lncRNA from 1 species
GGCAGAUGAGGGCACAGGUCUCUGGGCAGAGUUUUCAAGCUCAGGGCCGAGUGGAGGAGGGAGAGAGCAGGGGAUGCUGUGCGUUCAGAGGAAGGACAAGCCACCUGGUUAUAAACUAGUGUCUGUAUUUUCAAGCGAUAUGCUGCUGCUGCUGCUGCACUGCUUCAAUCGUGUCUCAGGUCUUCCUCUUGGUGCCUCCACCCCUAAGCCAGUCAUUCUCUCUGAGCACAAGGAUCUUCUCUGUUGGCACUGCCUCUCUCACCUGGGAAACAUCCAGUGUGAGUAAGAUUUCUCUGGCCAGGCUCCCGCAGACCUGGGAAACCCAAGAGAUGGAAAAGAGUGGUUGGUUUCUGCAGAAAAAUGUCAGCUGCUCUGAAAGAACAUGGUGACCAACUUCUUCCAUGGGGCACUGGGGCCCUUUGCUCUUGUCCCAGUGGAGCUUUGAACACAAGCUACCUGCUCUCCUUGCUUGGUCCUGCAAUAAACCUUUCUCUGCUCCAAACCCUGUCUCAGUUUGCUUGACCUCACUGCGCUUCGGGCACAUGAACCGUAUUCAGCAGUGUGACUUAAGUAAUUUGAUCUUUGUGCGCCUUGGUUUUCUUACCG